rnacentral:rRNA from 1 species
AACGAACGCUGGCGGCAGGCCUAAUACAUGCAAGUUGAACGUGAAAUACACUUCGGUGUAUGGAAAGUAGCGCACGGGUGAGUAACACGUGGGAAUCUACCCUUUGGUACGGAACAACAGUUGGAAACGACUGCUAAUACCGUAUAAUGACUCCGGUCCAAAGAUUUAUCGCCAAGGGAUGAGCCCGCGUCUGAUUAGCUAGUUGGUAGGGUAAAAGCCUACCAAGGCAACGAUCAGUAGCUGGUUUGAGAGGAUGAUCAGCCACACUGGAACUGAGACACGGUCCAGACUCCUACGGGAGGCAGCAGUAAGGAAUAUUGGACAAUGGGGGAAACCCUGAUCCAGCCAUGCCGCGUGAGUGAAGAAGGCCCUAGGGUUGUAAAGCUCUUUCAAUCGUGAAGAUAAUGACGGUAGCGAUAGAAGAAGCUCCGGCUAACUCCG